rnacentral:rRNA from 1 species
AAUGACUCUCGGCAAUGGAUAUCUCAGCUCUCGCAUCGAUGAAGAACGUAGCAAUAUGCGAUACUUGGUGUGAAUUGCAGAAUCCCGUGAACCAUCCAGCUCUUUGAAAGCAAGUUGCACCCGAAGCCAUUAGGCCGAGGGCACGCCUGCCUGGG